GACGAACGCUGGCGGCGUGCUUAACACAUGCAAGUCGAACGGAAAGGCCCUGCUUGCAGGGUACUCGAGUGGCGAACGGGUGAGUAACACGUGGGUGAUCUGCCCUGCACUUCGGGAUAAGCCUGGGAAACUGGGUCUAAUACCGGAUAGGAGCCAUUUUUAGUGUGAUGGUUGGAAAGUUUUUUCGGUGUAGGAUGAGCUCGCGGCCUAUCAGCUUGUUGGUGGGGUAAUGGCCUACCAAGGCGGCGACGGGUAGCCGGCCUGAGAGGGUGGACGGCCACAUUGGGACUGAGAUACGGCCCAGACUCCUACUGGAGGCAGCAGUGGGGAAUAUUGCACAAUGGGCGCAAGCCUGAUGCAGCGACGCCGCGUGGGGGAUGACGGCCUUCGGGUUGUAAACUCCCUUCGCUAGGGACGAAGCUUUUUGUGACGGUACCUAGAUAAGAAGCACCGGCUAACUACGUG
rnacentral:rRNA from 1 species